GCAACCUGCCCAGAUGUUCAGCUCGCCCAAAGGCUGCCUCCUUGGAGAGAUUAUUUCAUUCAAUAUUUUUUAUGAAUUAUUUACCAUUUGUACUUCAAUAGUAGCAGAAGACAAAAAAGGUCAUCUAAUACAUGGGAGAAACAUGGAUUUUGGAGUGUUUCUUGGGUGGAACAUAAAUAAUGAUACCUGGGUCAUAACUGAGCAACUAAAACCUUUAACAGUGAAUUUGGACUUCCAAAGAAACAACAAAACUGUCUUCAAGGCUUCAAGCUUUGCUGGCUAUGUGGGCAUGUUAACAGGAUUCAAACCAGGACUGUUCAGUCUUUCACUGAAUGAACGUUUCAGUAUAAAUGGUGGUUAUCUGGGUAUUCUAGAAUGGAUUCUGGGAAAGAAAGAUGCCAUGUGGAUAGGGUUCCUCACUAGAACAGUUCUGGAAAAUAGCACAAGUUAUGAAGAAGCCAAGAAUUUAUUGACCAAGACCAAGAUAUUGGCCCCAGCCUACUUUAUCCUGGGAGGCAACCAGUCUGGGGAAGGUUGUGUGAUUACACGAGACAGAAAGGAAUCAUUGGAUGUAUAUGAACUCGAUGCUAAGCAGGGUAGAUGGUAUGUGGUACAAACAAAUUAUGACCGUUGGAAACAUCCCUUCUUCCUUGAUGAUCGCAGAACGCCUGCAAAGAUGUGUCUGAACCGCACCAGCCAAGAGAAUAUCUCAUUUGAAACCAUGUAUGAUGUCCUGUCAACAAAACCUGUCCUCAACAAGCUGACCGUAUACACAACCUUGAUAGAUGUUACCAAAGGUCAAUUCGAAACUUACCUGCGGGACUGCCCUGACCCUUGUAUAGGUUGGUGAGCACACGUCUGGCCUACAGAAUGCGGCCUCUGAGACAUGAAGACACCAUCUCCAUGUGACCGAACACUGCAGCUGUCUGACCUUCCAAAGACUAAGACUCGCGGCAGGUUCUCUUUGAGUCAAAAGCUUGUCUUCGUCCAUCUGUUGACAAAUGACAGACCUUUUUUUUUUCCCCCUAUCAGUUGAUUUUUCUUAUUUACAGAUAACUUCUUUAGGGGAAGUAAAACAGUCAUCUAGAAUUCAUUGAGUUUUGUUUCACUUUGACAUUUGGGGAUCUGGUGGGCAGUCGAACCAUGGUGAACUCCACCUCCGUGGAAUAAAUGGAGAUUCAGCGUGGGUGUUGAAUCCAGCACGUCUGUAUGAGUAACGGGACAGUAAACACUCCACAUUCUUCAGUUUUUCACUUCUACCUACAUAUUUGUAUGUUUUUCUGUAUAACAGCCUUUUCCUUCUGGUUCUAACUGCUCUUAAAAUUAAUAUAUCAUUAUCUUUGCUGUUAUUGACAGUGAUAUAAUUUUAUUACAUAUGAUUAGAGGGAUGAGACAGACAUUCACCUGUAUAUUUCUUUUAAUGGGCACAAAAUGGGCCCUUGCCUCUAAAUAGCACGUUUUGGGGUUCAAGAAGUAAUCAGUAUGCAAAGCAAUCUUUUAUACAAUAAUUGAAGUGUUCCCUUUUUCAUAAUUACUCUACUUCCCAGUAACCCUAAGGAAGUUGCUAACUUAAAAAACCGCAUCCCAGGUUCUGUUAAUUUAGUAAAUAAACAAGUCAAAGACUUGUGGAAAAUAGGAAGUGAACCCAUAUUUUAAAUUCUCAUAAGUAGCAUUCAUGUAAUAAACAGGUUUUUAGUUUGUUCUUCAGAUUGAUAGAUAGUUUUAAAGAAAUUUUAGUAGUUACUAAAAUUAUGUUACUUUAUUUUUCAGAAAUCAAACUGCUUAUGAAAAGUACUAAUAGAACUUGUUAACCUUUCUAACCUUCACGAUUAACUGUGAAAUGUACGUCAUUUGUGCAAGACCGUUUGUCCACUUCAUUUUGUAUAAUCAC
rnacentral:sRNA from 1 species